rnacentral:rRNA from 1 species
ACUUAUACGAAUAAGGACCGGCUAACUCCGUGCCAGCAGCCGCGGUAAUACGGAGGAUCCGAGCGUUAUCCGGAUUUAUUGGGUUUAAAGGGUCCGUAGGCGGGCAAAUAAGUCAGUGGUGAAAUCCUACAGCUCAACUGUAGAACUGCCAUUGAAACUGUUAGUCUUGAAUAUAAUUGAAGUGGGCGGAAUGUGUCAUGUAGCGGUGAAAUGCUUAGAUAUGCCACAGAACACCGAUUGCGAAGGCAGCUCACUAAGUUAUUAUUGACGCUGAGGGACGAAAGCGUGGGUAGCGAACAGGAUUAGAUACCCUGGUAGUCCACGCCGUAAACGAUGUAUACUCGUUGCUGGCGAUACACAGUCAGUGACCAAGCGAAAGUAUUAAGUAUACCACCUGGGGAGUACGCUCGCAAGAGUGAAACUCAAAUGAAUUGACGGG